AGGAGUCAUCCCCUGAUACAUAACAAUCUUUAAGUUUUAGGGCCCUCCCAGCUCUGCACAGACGUCCGGGCCCCUGUUUGCCUGCCUCGCAUAGUUUCAUGUUUCCAUGAGCAGCUGUUGAUGUCACCUUAGGCUUUUAAGAAAAUAGCACAUUGUGCCCCACCUGGCCUGCCUCACCGGCUUGCUCAGAGGUGUGCAGGAGGGAGAUGCAGCGCAGAGGCCAGGCUGGGCGUU